rnacentral:rRNA from 1 species
CCUACGGGGGGCAGCAGUGGGGAAUAUUGCACAAUGGGGGAAACCCUGAUGCAGCGACGCCGCGUGAGUGAAGAAGUAUUUCGGUACGUAAAGCUCUAUCAGCAGGGAAGAAAAUGACGGUACCUGACUAAGAAGCCCCGGCGAACUACGUGCCAGCAGCCGCGGUAAUACGUAGGGGGCAAGCGUUAUCCGGAUUUACUGGGUGUAAAGGGAGCGUAGACGGCAGCGCAAGUCUGGAGUGAAAUCCCAUGGCUUAACCAUGGAACUGCUUUGGAAACUGUGCAGCUAGAGUGCAGGAGAGGUAAGCGGAAUUCCUAGUGUAGCGGUGAAAUGCGUAGAUAUUAGGAGGAACACCAGUGGCGAAGGCGGCUUACUGGACUGUAACUGACGUUGAGGCUCGAAAGCGUGGGGAGCAAACAGGAUUAGAUACCCGGGUAGUC